UGUUAAAAAUUUCAUUCAUUUUUACUGUUGAAAAUCGAUGUGGAUGAUAAAAUGACUAGACAAUUAUACGUGACGUGUCAUGUGGACUUUAUUUUAAUAUACAAUGAUCAGUUUUUAACGAUAAAAAUAGAUAAAAUUUUAAAUA
rfam:Gossypium hirsutum cultivar TM-1 chromosome 9, whole genome shotgun sequence